rnacentral:rRNA from 1 species
GACGAACGCUGGCGGCGUGCUUAACACAUGCAAGUCGAGCGGUAAGGCCCUUUCGGGGGUACGACGAGCGGCGAACGGGUGAGUAACACGUGGGUGACCUGCCCUCAGCUCUGGGAUAAGCCUGGGAAACGUGGGUCUAAUACUGGAUAUGACUCCACGGUGCAUGUCGUGGGGUGGAAAGCCUUGUGCGGCUGAGGAUGGGCCCGCGGCCUAUCAGCUUGUUGG